rnacentral:lncRNA from 1 species
GGAUUAAAUCUGUGCUCUAGUGGAUGUGGCAGACCCCUGGGCUAACAGCCCAAGGGACACACCUCAAUGGCCCCCACCUGUGUCCAUAUCAGCACGCAUGGACCAGCUCAGAACAACGGCCCCCACCAAUGUCUCAGUCUCUGGAGAGGAUCCUCCUCUCACCAAAAUGCCCCCAGAGCCCACCAGGAGCAGAUGUGUCAAUUAGCUUGAAAAGAAAGCUGAGGACAAGAAGCUCUUAUCCAGUUCUCCAUUUGGGACACUUGGAAAAGACUGCAGUAAAAAAGGACCCUGUGUCUCCAUGAGGUGGAAUGUUAUGUUUAUGGGAUGGAGAAAAAGGGCCAUAAGUAAAUAGAGUCUGGAAUGAUCUCCCACGCUUCUCUUGCUUCCUAUGUGGCAAGAAACUGCUGUGGAGGAGUGGCAAGUCUGGGCCAAGGAUCCAGAUGGAAGAAGUGGCAAAGAGUCUGAAACACAGCAAGGGCUGAGUAAUCAGAGAGUUGUUGAUUGAGCAGAGAAAAAUUACAUUUGUGUUCAUCAGCCCCAGAUGUCAGCAGCAAAAGCCAACAGAAAAUCCUGAGAAAGGACCAACCAACCAAGUAAUGCAGCAGACACCCACUCUGCAGUGGUCUGAAAACCAGAACCUCCACAUCCAGGCCUUAUAUUGACAGAACAGAAUCUCUAGGACCCAGUCGUGUCAUGUGGAUCACAUCGGCCUCCAGCUCGCCCAAGUUUGCACCUUAGACAUGUGGUCAUUGCACAGGUCAAGUGUCUGGAGCACCCUUACAAGACUGCACUUAGUCUUAACCCAGAGUGAAGUCACAUGCCCGUGCCUAUAUCCAGUCCCUGUACAGGACGCCAGAUUCAACUGAAACCUGACUAAAGAGGAACAUCCUCCAUCCAUGCAUUUCAUGCAUCCACCCAUUCAUCAACUCUAUGCCCAGCACUCUUCUCUCGGCCCUUCGCUGGGCUCACUGUCUACAGACCCAAGACUUUGUCCACCUUCUCUAUAUUCUGUGUUUCCUUGUGGUCUUAACCCCAGACCAGGGUUCAUAUAUCUAACUGACCACUUGUUACAUCCACUUGAAUUUCUCACCAAAAUCUCAAACUUAACAUGUCUCAAACUAAGAUCAUAAUCACCUCCUUCGCCUCAAUAAUACUUCCUUCUAGCGUACUCUAGCUAAUACUCUACUACUACUCUAGCGACUAGCAGCACUACCCACCUAGUGGUUUAAGCCAAACUUCUGAUUCAUUCUUAUCUCCUCUCUCAGCCUCAUCACAUACACAAUCCAAGCUCUGUUGUUUCUGCUUCCCUUAUAUCGCCUGAGCACUCCUUUUUCUUUCUUUUCUCAUUGCCAAAAUCCAUCAUUGAAAUAAUUUCCUAAAUACAUACAUGUGUGUGUAUAUAUAUACAUACACACCUGCAUUUACUCUAUUUCUUAAAUUCAUUUUGAAUGAUACUUUCAGGACAUUUCUUUUAUAAAAUACAAAUAAUGUGCAUCAAUUCUAUGCUAUAAAUCCUUGAUUUGUUUCCCACUUCCCAUGGAAACACACUCCAAAAUACUUAAAAUGGCCCAGGAUGGCCUGGCUCUGCCCACUUCUUCAAUCUUAUCUCUUAGCACAGUCUCCUGCACUCUCUCAGCUCUCUCCAUAAUGCAAAAUGCCAAAUCAUCUGCCGGAAACGCUCUCCCAGGCUGUUAUAACCUAGGUAACCAGCAUGUAUUCAUCAGGGGUCAGCUAAACAGCAUCUCCUUAGAGAAGUCAUGCUGAUUGCCUGUUACAUACUUUUCUAACACAUUCUUGAUCUUAAGAGUUUUAAAAAUUCAUAAAAAUUGAGUAUAUUAUUUACAAUUUUGCUUCAUUCCUACGUUCCUAGUCUAUUGCAAGCUCCAUGAAGGCACGAAAUCUUGCCAAGCAUAGUCAUGUCUAUGUCCCAAAAUAUCUGUUGCAAUGCAUGAUAUCUAGCAAAGACUCAAAUAUUUGAUAAAUGAAUGAACGAAAACAACCAUUGAGCAAUUUUUAUGGCCAAGUCCUCUAUGUUCCUCAAGCUGGUGUUUCAAUCCUAUGAAGUCCAUUCAAAAUUCUUAGCUGCCAAGAGAAAACUUGAGUAAUGUCUCUUGGCAAAUCAUUACACUUUCUUUCAUUUCUCUCUGUUUAAAAGUGAUUUCUCUCUCUUAAAAAAAAAAAAAAGCCUUUCAGUAAACAGUUCUAAUAAAUAUCAGCUAAUAAAAGAAUGAAUGUAUCAAACAAACAAAUUGAGAAAGGUAAACAAACCAAAGAAAGUAUGGAAAGAAAAUCUAAAAU